UACGUAGGGUACGAGCGUUGUCCGGAUUCAUUGGGCGUAAAGCGCGCGUAGGCGGCUCGGAAAGUCGGGCGUGAAAUGCCGGGGCUCAACCCCGGGACUGCGUCCGAUACUUCAGAGCUGGAGGUAGGUAGGGGAGAUCGGAAUUCCUGGUGUAGCGGUGAAAUGCGCAGAUAUCAGGAGGAACACCGGUGGCGAAGGCGGCAACCUGGACCGAGAUUGACGCUGAGGCGCGAAAGCCAGGGGAGCAAACGGG
rnacentral:rRNA from 1 species